UUUCACGAUGAGUCAUAUCAUGAAACAAAGUCACCCUUGAUCUCUGAUACGUGGCACCGACCUUCUUCUUCACCUCAUAACAAGAAGGUACUCUUUGGUGUGGUGGACAUUGUUUACUCCAUAUCAUCUGGCGACAAUUCCACUUGAUCCUGACCAAGAAAGCCAUCCAUGAAGGUAAACACCGAGGGCUGGGUUGUACUAUCAACCAGCACGUCAUUGUGAAGUACCGGGAAUUUCAUAUUUCGAACUAGCUCUAUUCACGUCUCAGUAGUCCACACACAUU
rnacentral:lncRNA from 1 species